UCCAGACUCCUACNGGAGGCAGCAGUGGGGAAUAUUGCACAAUGGGCGCAAGCCUGAUGCAGCCAUGCCNCGUGUAUGAAGAAGGCCUUCGGGUUGUAAAGUACUUUCAGCGGGGANGAAGGUGUUGUGGUUNAUNNCCGCAGCAAUUGACGUUACCCGCAGAAGAAGCACCGGCUAACUCCGUGCCAGCAGCCGCGGUNAUACGGAGGGUGCAAGCGUUAAUCNNGAAUUACUGGGCGUAAAGCGCACGCAGGCGGUCUGUCAAGUCGGAUGUGAAAUCCCCGGGCUCANCCUGGGAACUGCAUUCGAAACUGGCNGGCUAGAGUCUUGUAGAGGGGGGUAGAAUUCCAGGUGUAGCGGUGAAAUGCGUAGAGAUCUGGAGGAAUACCGGUGGCGAAGGCGGCCCCCUGGACAAAGACUGACGCUCAGGUGCGAAAGCGUGGGGAGCAAACAGGAUUAGAUACCCUGGUAGUCCACGCCGUAAACGAUGUCGACUUGGAGGUUGUGCCCUUGAGGCGUGGCUUCCGGAGCUAACGCGUUAAGUCGACCGCCUGGGGAGUACGGCCGCAAGGUUAAAACUCAAAUGAAUUGACGGGGGCCCGCACAAGCGGUGGAGCAUGUGGUUUAAUUCGAUGCAACGCGAAGAACCUUACCUACUCUUGACAUCCAGAGAACUUAGCAGAGAUGCUUUGGUGCCUUCGGGAACUCUGAGACAGGUGCUGCAUGGCUGUCGUCAGCUCGUGUUGUGAAAUGUUGGGUUAAGUCCCGCAACGAGCGCAACCCUUAUCCUUUGUUGCCAG
rnacentral:rRNA from 1 species